rnacentral:rRNA from 1 species
AAUUUUCCGCAAUGGACGGAAGUCUGACGGAGCGACGCCGCGUGGGGGAAGAAGGCCUUCGGGUUGUAAACCUCUGUCCUCAGGGACGAAGAGGGUGUAGUGAUGCCCCGAAGACGGUACCUGAGGAGGAAGCCCCGGCUAACUACGUGCCAGCAGCCGCGGUAAUACGUAGGGGGCGAGCGUUGUCCGGAAUUACUGGGCGUAAAGGGUACGUAGGCGGCUAUAUAAGUCAGGUGUGAAAUACCAGUGCUUAACACUGGAAUUGCAUUUGAAACUGUGUAGCUUGAGUGCAGGAGAGGAAAGUGGAAUUCCUAGUGUAGCGGUGAAAUGCGUAGAGAUUAGGAGGAACACCAGUGGCGAAGGCGACUUUCUGGACUGUAACUGACGCUGAGGUACGAAAGCGUGGGUAGCGAACA